rnacentral:rRNA from 1 species
UUGACCUCGAAUCAGGUAGGAAUACCCGCUGAACUUAAGCAUAUCAAUAAGCGGAGGAAAAGAAACCAACCGGGAUUACCUCAGUAACGGCGAGUGAAGCGGUAACAGCUCAAAUUUGAAAUCUGGCUCUUCCGGAGUCCGAGUUGUAAUUUGUAGAAGAUGCUUUGGGUUGUGGGUUCGGCCUAAGUUCCUUGGAACAGGACGUCAUAGAGGGUGAGAAUCCCGUAUGUGGCCGAGGCCCGCGCCUAUGUAAAGCUCUUUCAACGAGUCGAGUUGUUUGGGAAUGCAGCUCAAAAUGGGUGGUAAAUUUCAUCUAAAGCUAAAUAUGGGCCAGAGACCGAUAGCGCACAAGUAGAGUGAUCGAAAGAUGAAAAGCACUUUGGAAAGAGAGUUAAACAGUACGUGAAAUUGUUGAAAGGGAAGCGCUUGCAACCAGACUUGGGCGCUGCCGAUCACCUUGAGUUUUCUCGAGUGCACUCGACAGCGCACAGGCCAGCAUCGGUUCGGGUGGCUGGAUAAAGGCCGUAGGAAUGUGGCUCUCUUCGGGGAGUGUUAUAGCCUACGGUGCCAUGCAGCCCAGCCGGACCGAGGACCGCGCCUUCGGGCUAGGAUGCUGGCGUAAUGGUUGUAAGCGACCCGUCUUGAAACACGGACCAAGGAGUCUAACAUCUAUGCGAGUGUUUGGGUGGUAAACCCAUACGCGGAAUGAAAGUGAACGUAGGUGAGAACCCCUUUGGGGCGCAUCAUCGACCGAUCCUGAUGUCUU